rnacentral:misc_RNA from 1 species
GACAGGGGAAACUUUGUC